GGGUGCGUAGCUCAGCGGUAGAGCGCCUGCCUUACAAGCAGGAUGUCGGCGGUUCGACACCGUCCGCGCCCA
rnacentral:tRNA from 1 species